rnacentral:rRNA from 1 species
AAAUUGGAAUCCUGGGCUCAUGACGACGCUGGCGGCGUGCCUAAUACAUGCAAGUCGAACGCUUCUUUUUCCACCGGAGCUUGCUCCACCGGAAAAAGAGGAGUGGCGAACGGGUGAGUAACACGUGGGUAACCUGCCCAUCAGAAGGGGAUAACACUUGGAAACAGGUGCUAAUACCGUAUAACAAUCAAAACCGCAUGGUUUUGAUUUGAAAGGCGCUUUCGGGUGUCGCUGAUGGAUGGACCCGCGGUGCAUUAGCUAGUUGGUGAGGUAACGGCUCACCAAGGCCACGAUGCAUAGCCGACCUGAGAGGGUGAUCGGCCACAUUGGGACUGAGACACGGCCCAAACUCCUACGGGAGGCAGCAGUAGGGAAUCUUCGGCAAUGGACGAAAGUCUGACCGAGCAACGCCGCGUGAGUGAAGAAGGUUUUCGGAUCGUAAAACUCUGUUGUUAGAGAAGAACAAGGAUGAGAGUAACUGUUCAUCCCUUGACGGUAUCUAACCAGAAAGCCACGGCUAACUACGUGCCAGCCGCCGCGGUAAUU